CCCCACCACACACACACACACACACACACACACACACACACAAGUCCGGUUUUCUGAUAAGAAAGGAAAAACGUGUAGUGCGGUGUUGAAUGACGAGUGCUUCGGAGCUGUUUCAGAACAGGAGGUCGCGACUCGGCCGCAACAGUCUCGACCUAGGGCUCGAUCGGAGCUUCCACCAGCAGCAGCAGCAGAGCCAUAGAAAUCGAGGCCAUGACCACCACCAUCACUACCAAAUCCACAACAAUACUACUCGUCGUGAUCGUCAUGAUUUGGAAGGUAGUGAUCCUCUCCGCCGACCCCCUUUAAUCAGGCAUCACUCUAAUCGCCCUCCUAAUUCGGUACGCCACAACCAACCUUCUAACUACUCUCUGCCACACAUUGAUUAAGAUAUUAACUAUGUAAUUUCAGAUUCAUAUAGUAGUACAAUUUUUAUUACUACAUUUUGUUGGUUAUUUUCUGUAUAUAAUAAUUAAAUGGGCUAGUUUAUUAUAAUUUUAGAAAUCUGAUUCCAGGGGUUGUUUUUCUGUUUUAGUGGAAAGUGAAUGCAUAUUACAUGAGGUAAUUAACAUAUAGUUUGGACUUGUAAUACAUCAGCUAAUACUGUUCAAUAUCGGUCCAUAUAUGAUCAUAUUACAUAUACAAAUACAUAUCCUGAUAUCAUUAUUAUUUAGAACCAUGCACUCAAGUUGAAGAUUAAAUUAUGUCAGUUUUAUUGCCGACAAAAUAUACACCACUUUUAUGGCCAAUAGGAUCAUUUUAGGUUCGUUUGGGAAGUGAUUUUUUGCCCAAAAUAUGAAGUGAAUGCAUAGAAAGUGUUUCGGAAUAGCUUCUUGGAUUUUUAGGAAAAAAAGUGCAAAAAAUUUGAGAAAAGAAGGAACCUUUGACCUUUUUUUUUUUAAUAUAUGACUUGCUUUUUUAAUGGUUUUUUUUGGCUAAAAUCUAAUCUUCCCAAACAUG